UACAGAGGGUGCAAGCGUUGUUCGGAAUCACUGGGCGUAAAGGGUGCGUAGGCGGUUUGGUAAGUCUUAUGUGAAAUCUACAGGCUCAACUUGUAGUCUGCAUGAGAAACUGCCGGGCUUGAGUAUGGGAGAGGUGAGUGGAAUUCCUGGUGUAGCGGUGAAAUGCGUAGAUAUCAGGAGGAACACCUGUGGCGAAAGCGGCAUCCUGGACCAAUUCUGACGCUGAGGAGCGAAAGCCAGGGGAGCAAACAGG
rnacentral:rRNA from 1 species